CUUAACCUGGCCAUCCCUUUCUUCAGAGUAUGUGGUCGUCCUCUUCCAGAUCGAAAUCCAGAAAGAGUUCCGCAACGAGCAGGCAUAUGAUUAAAGUCGACCUCUGUCUCUGUCCAUCAACCUACUUAGCAUAGCAUAUUUUUAGCAUAUUUGAUUAAGAGCUCUUAAGCGAGUUUGAACUAUACUAUAAUAUAAGGGAAAGGAGAAUCUGAUAAGAGUCGGGUUCUGUUCCAUCCCCGAUGUCAAUUGAUUAAGUUCCACUACUGGGAUUCCUCCCGAAGUACAUAAUAGAAAGAAAAGGCAUAUUCAAAGUCAUAAGCUGAUCCUUCUUCGGUGGCUGCUGCUGCUUCGGAUCUAGA
rnacentral:lncRNA from 1 species